rnacentral:rRNA from 1 species
GGCGGACGGGUGAGUAACACGUGGGUAACCUACCCAUCAGAGGGGGAUAACACUUGGAAACAGGUGCUAAUACCGCAUAACAGUUUAUGCCGCAUGGCAUAAGAGUGAAAGGCGCUUUCGGGUGUCACUGAUGGAUGGACCCGCGGUGCAUUAGCUAGUUGGUGAGGUAACGGCUCACCAAGGCCACGAUGCAUAGCCGACCUGAGAGGGUGAUCGGCCACACUGGGACUGAGACACGGCCCAGACUCCUACGGGAGGCAGCAGUAGGGAAUCUUCGGCAAUGGACGAAAGUCUGACCGAGCAACGCCGCGUGAGUGAAGAAGGUUUUCGGAUCGUAAAACUCUGUUGUUAGAGAAGAACAAGGACGUUAGUAACUGAACGUCCCCUGACGGUAUCUAACCAGAAAGCCACGGCUAACUACGUGCCAGCAGCCGCGGUAAUACGUAGGUGGCAAGCGUUGUCCGGAUUUAUUGGGCGUAAAGCGAGCGCAGGCGGUUUCUUAAGUCUGAUGUGAAAGCCCCCGGCUCAACCGGGGAGGGUCAUUGGAAACUGGGAGACUUGAGUGCAGAAGAGGAGAGUGGAAUUCCAUGUGUAGCGGUGAAAUGCGUAUAUAUAUGGAGGAACACCAGUGGCGAAGGCGGCUCUCUGGUCUGUAACUGACGCUGACGCUCGAAAGCGUGGGGAGCAAACAAGAUUAGAUACCCUGGUAGUCCACGCCGUAAACGAUGAGUGCUAAGUGUUGGGAGGGUUUCCGCCCUUCAGUGCUGCAGCAAACGCAUUAAGCACUCCCGCCUGGGGGAGUACGACCGCAAGGUUGAAACUCAAAGGAAUUGACGGGGGCCCGCACACAGCGCGUG